AUGAAUGUUGGUGUGCUAGGGCUAUCUGUAUCUGCAGUGCACCAGUGUGUCCAGGAGAAGGAGCAGCAACUCCUUGGACAAUGGUUCGGCCACGUCUGCGGCAACGGCGGGGACCUCCGCCCGUGGGUCUCCGUCUUGCUGCUCAUCCUCUUUUCUAGGAAGCACUGCAUAUAUGUUCAUGCCACCCUGAAUAUAUUGGAUUUAGAUCUUGAUGUAUAUAUGCAGUAUUUUACUCCAUCAUUUGUUUCUGAGAGGCUCGCUAUGCGGUUCGCGCUGCUUGCUGUGCCAGCCGGCGCGCCCAUCCACGUGUUCAAGAACCUCCUGCUGAUUCACACCAUGACUGAUGCCAGAUGUGGUUUAUUCUUAGAGUUGUUAAUUGUUCUGAAAGUGAUGGAUCAGAAGCUAGUGAUGGAUCAGAAGCUGAUGAAGUUGUCCAUAUUCACACUACAAGUAGUUGGGGGCCUGCUAAAUGUCAUCAACAAGAGAAGAGAAGACCCCAUGCAGAUGGGCGACAGGUGCAUCAGGGUGACCAUCCACCAUUGCUUCUUUGACAGCAUGCGGCCGAUCUAUGCAGUUCAGCAAGGUCCACCUCUUCAACAAAACUACACCAGGGACUGGGGCAUAUACGCUGUCUGCGACAUUGUCAAAGCUCAGAUGAAGACUGUUUUCAAAUACAUGCCGGAGAAGGGCAGUGUGCCAAGACUGAGACAUUGCCACCUGCUGUCCACAUCGAUGCCGACGAGAUGCUGCAUUGUCCGUCCUGAAUCCUUGGAUGUUGGGAAGUUCGAAGAAGCAUGUGCUGUAGAUCCCCUGCCUUUUGGAAGAUGUUUAGCUUUGAUUUCAACUGCCAGCCUUCUCUCUGUACUCACUGAUCCGCCUGAUGACAAAGAUGGAGAGGAAGCAGGAGUGUUGGCGCAGGAGCAGCAGAUGUGGGCACAGUGCUGGCAAGGCGGGAUGCAGGGGCAGCAUGACCUCAAUGGGCUCGCCAUCGACGGCAGCGGAUGCCCAUUCCCAUGGCGCACCACGCAGCCGGUGGGUACUAUUACUAGCGCCUCCUCGAGCUAA
rnacentral:rRNA from 1 species